rnacentral:rRNA from 1 species
AGCCUGAACGCUGGCGGCGUGGCUAAGACAUGCAAGUCGCACGGUGUAGCAAUACACAGUGGCGAACGGGUGAGUAAUGAAUCGCUAAUGUACCCCGGACGCUGGGAUAGCUACCCGAAAGGGUAGGUAAUACCAGAUGAGACCACGAUCAGGCAUCUGAUUGUGCUCAAAGGUCCGCCGGUCUGGGAGCAGGCGAUUUCGUAUCAGCUAGUUGGUGAGGUAACGGCUCACCAAGGCGACGACGCGUAGCCGGACUGAGAGGUUGGCCGGCCACAUUGGGACUGAGACACUGCCCAGACUCCUACGGGGGGGCUGCAGUAACGAAUCUUCCGCAAUGCACGAAAGUGUGACGGAGCGACGCGCGUGUAGGACGAAGCCCUUGGGGUAGUAAACUACUGUCAGGGGUUAGAAAGUUCAGAUACAACCCCAGAAGGAAGGCAACGGCUAACUCUAGUGCCAAGCACGCCGC